rnacentral:rRNA from 1 species
GGGCCCGCACAAGCGGUGGAGUAUGUGGUUUAAUUCGAUGCAACGCGAAGAACCUUACCAGGGUUUGACAUCCUGCGAAUCUCUUGGAAACAGGAGAGUGCCUUCGGGAACGCAGUGACAGGUGGUGCAUGGCUGUCGUCAGCUCGUGUCGUGAGAUGUUGGGUUAAGUCCCGCAACGAGCGCAACCCACGUCUUUAGUUGCCAGCCUUAAGUUGGGCACUCUAAGGAGACUGCCAGUGACAAACUGGAGGAAGGCGGGGACGACGUCAAGUCAUCAUGGCCCUUACGACCAGGGCUACACACGUGCUACAAUGGUAGGUACAGAGGGCAGCUACACAGCGAUGUGAUGCGAAUCUCAAAAAGCCUAUCGUAGUCCAGAUUGGAGUCUGCAACUCGACUCCAUGAAGUAGGAAUCGCUAGUAAUCG